AAAUGGGUGCAUAAGAAU
rnacentral:snRNA from 1 species